rnacentral:rRNA from 1 species
AUGGAUGUAAAGCACUGCAAAUUGAGUUUCAAAAGGAAGCUCUUUCGUUCACAUGAUAUUCAGCAUGAUGGCAAAAGCAAGAUCGUUUUCCACAUUCUUUCCAUCUGCAUUAAAAACCCAAGACGUCUUUUCUUCCUGGUAGCGACAAUGCUCUGCUGUUCUACGGCCACCAUUGCUGGAAACAAAUUAAAUUGUUUUGUCUUUAGCGAGAUGCUUACUUCAAUUUUCUUCUCUUCCCUGGAAUCUACCAUCUUUCUUCAUCUUUGA